UACAGAGGGUGCGAGCGUUGUCCGGAAUCACUGGGCGUAAAGGGCGCGUAGGCGGCGCGGUAAGCGUGCGGUGAAAGCCCGGGGCUCAACCCCGGGUCGGCCGUGCGGACUGCCGGGCUGGAGCACUGUAGAGGCAGGUGGAAUUCCGGGUGUAGCGGUGGAAUGCGUAGAGAUCCGGAGGAACACCGGUGGCGAAGGCGGCCUGCUGGGCAGUAGCUGACGCUGAAGCGCGACAGCGUGGGGAGCAAACAGG
rnacentral:rRNA from 1 species